rnacentral:lncRNA from 1 species
AAAUCACCAGUGUAAUAUAGCAAGAUUAUAACAGAAGCACAACAUUGAUAUAAAUAUGUUCAUUACAUAGAAACUGGUCCAAGCAACAACAAAAGGUAGUGGAAUCAGGUGUGCCAAAAGCAAGGCAACAACUUCAGGCCAAAAGCAAGCCAAGACGAUCCAUCGAAACAAAACAAAAAUAAUAACUGGGCCACAACAUGGAUCGAGCCACGUUCACAACGAGCGGAAUCACAAGUAAAAAUAAACGGCAAAAGUACGUGCCCGUGGGUAACUGCCCUGAAGGGAGUCUGGUGGUGCGAGAGCGGCCUGUCCGUCAUCGCGGCUGCUUGCCUGGUUUGGAGCAAAAGGAAAUGAAAAACAUUAGGUCAGAUGGUACCAAAAUGAAUUAUAUAAUGGUAAAGUGAGAUGCGGGCUUUCUACUGUGCUUAGUUGGGCCUCUGGCAUUUUUCCAGAACUGCUCAUUAUUUUACAAUUCUUUUGCAGGGUCAAAGGAAAACACACAUAUGGACCGUCAAAUAUAUUUGUAAAAUGUUUUGUAGACCAAACUGCUCUGUAUUUUGUAGGCAUACCUUCCAUGGUCAUAUAGCAUAAUGUAUACACAGGAUAAUUGAUACAAAUGUCAAUUGCCUGUGAAACUGGACCAUCAAAUCUACAGUCGGUUGACAUUGUGACAUAUUUUGUAUGCUACCAUAUUGACCAAUCAUGAUCGUCUCUCUAGCCCAAUUGACGAAGAAGAACCUAUUCUGGCUAGCCAUGGUUGGAUCUGCUGCUAUUCUAUCAAAGCCAACUGGAAGUUGUGUUUUCCAGUUUUCGUUCCAAAUGGAGCUAUCUGAUUUCCUCUAAGAAUUUGUAGCUCAAUUCCUAUUUACUUUUUAACAUUUGGCAUCAGGCUUACUCACAUGACAUAAGCAGCCAUGAAAGCUCUCGUCAGCCAAAAAAAUAGAAGCAUAAAAAUCAAACAUGAGAAGAGUGAACGCGGGUAAAGUGCAGAUACAACUACUUUAAUAGUAGUUGUAACCUAAGACAAGAUUUCUAAAUGUAUAAACAAAAAGAUAGAGAGUUGCGACAGAAGAACUGGCAGGUAAGUAAUUUGAUGAUGCCAAAAUAACAUUGAUAAACAUGUGACCCGCUAUCAAUCUCACAUCGCUCAUUAAAAAUCAAGCAAACCAAGGACCGACAUGCGGGGUAAAGACGUAAAGUCAUACAUGUCGUCCACCCUAACAGGAGAAAUUGGCUCGUGUGUACCAGACAAACACGCCUCAGCUGCCGGCACCUGCUCCUCAUUGUUAUUGAUCUUCACAAAGUGAAUAAUCUGUGCAUAGAAAGGUAAGCAGGGGUACAUCGGUCAGGAUUCACUUUCAGGACUUACAAAUUUUUCGAUCGUACAGAGACACUAAUUAAUCAAGCUAGUAUUCCUAAAGCAGAAAGAUAAUUAUUCAUCCAUUGAACAGUUAAUGGAGAAAAGGGAGUAAAAAUGUUCUGCACACUUCUACCACUUAAAAAGCACUUCUAUGAAGAGCGAGUAAACUGGAUUCUAUAUAAGGUAUCAUCAUAUCAUCCUAGAAAAUUAGCUUUGAUGUCUUUUGAUAAAGUAGAUGUUUCCUCUAGAGAACCAGUAAGUUUUAUGAAUAACUCAUCUACAUGGCAUACAUGCUACUACUGAAAAAUAAAAAAAGCUAAUAGAUCAAGUGUGAGGUGAACUGGUAGCUUUCUAUGAGUCUAUUCAUUUGUUGAGUUCCUCUGCUGGAUUGCAUUCCAUGUACCUACAUUCUAAUCCCCAUAUAUUAUUUAGUGUUCUUUGUAGCUGAUCAACACUAAUAGUGUAUCUGGGACGGAAUAAAGGUUGAUGUAACAUUAGGCACUCUCCAGAUUCUCAUUAACUAUUACACACCAAAUUCGACAUCCAUCGCGGACAAUAUAUAUAUUUUCAGUGAGGACCAACUAAAUAGAUAAACAAAUAGUGUGCAAGUAUUAGGUGCGCGACAACAGAACUAAAUAUUUCAGCCAGUGUCGGUGACGGCCAAUUGAAAAGGAAUUGUAAAUAUCAGGAAAGAGAAAGGGACUCAUAGUUGUAUAUAAUUUUCACAAGCAACAUCCCCUAUGCGGAACUUACCUAGGGACUCGUAGUUGUAUAUAAUUUUCACAAGCAGCAUCCCCUAUCCGAAACUUACCUUCGGUGACAAAGCUAUAUAAACUAUCUGAUGGACAAAAAGAAGCUCUUGACAACCUGCAUAUCAACUUUUCCUACUAAAAUGUGACAAAGCUCAAGAGUUCCAUUUUUUCAGUUUUAUCCCGACUCUCCGAUGAUUAUGUACACCAGCUCUUUCACCCGUUGUUAUGUAAUACAUUUUAAGUUCAAAAGACACCAAGUAUAAGGUUGUACACUAAGGAAACAAAGGUAAGAACAUGCAUAAGAUAUAUCUAACCAGGCUAGAGUACAUACUCAAAUAGAUCCUAUUAGUAAGCAGAGGUGUAUACUUCCAUGUAUCAGGCGGUUUUAGCAUCAAGAAAUCCGUGAAGAACAAUGAAUGUAUAUGUGCUGAUAAUUAACUUGUAAAAUCAUGUGCUACAUCGCUAUAUGUUUUGACUUUUUUUGUGAACUCCAGUUUAAAAUGGUAUUUGAUAAUCCAACAUUAGUAACAACUUGCUCCUAAAACAUAACAGUGGCAUGAUCUUUAAUAUCACAGUCCAGUUCCAUUGAAAUACAAAAAAGACCACCAUAUGACACAAGAAAGAAUAUGUCAUUGUUUUGCAUAAGUGAAACUCAGAAAGAUGUUCAACAAAGCAAUGUCCAAUGUUAUUACAACCAAUGUACUCAUAUAUUGGUUGGUAUAACAUCUUAUAUUAUGGGACGGAGGGAGUAGAUUUCAUAGGUUGACAACAUGUUUACAUAAGAUGACAGUUGGUACGACAGAAUAUGUUAGUGAGAAUAGCCCUUGCCAAAAUAUGACAUGAGUAUGGAAGCGCGGUGCACAAAAUGUAUGUGACCCAGUCCAACAACAGAUUGGCUUUAGUAGUUCAUAUGGUUACAGGAAAGAGGACUAUGCGCACUUGGAGAGAACUGGUCUUCUCCAUUGAUUUAAAAAAUGCAAGGUUGGACAAAACAGUAGAAUUAAGACGUAACUUGCCUGCCCACAAAAAAGAUGUAACUUGCCAAUAUAGUCAAUUAUGUACCUCGGAACGUGGAUCUUCAAAGUUCAAUAAGGCAAUAGGUUUCUCAUAUUUGUGAUUACAUAGGCAGGUAAAAGGAAGUGAAGGUGCAUUAUCAGUGAGAGUGAAGGACCGUGUAUAUGUGAAGCGAUUAACUUUAUCGGCAUGAAGUUGAGGUCUCACCUCUGUUUUAAUUUCUUCUUGGGGGUGGGCUGUCCUAAUGUGAAUUGAGCACCUUCCAGCAAUAUGUAGCCUCUAGCACUUGCACACCAUACGAAAUCUCCUGCCCAAUAUGUGGCCUCUAGCACCUGCCAGCAACAUUGCAUUAACUCGUUUAGAUCAGAGAAUCUAUUAUAACUCUUAAUCUUUUGUAGGUAAAUCGAUGAACAAAAACUUGGCUUUAAGGCUUGGCAAGUCGGAAUAUGUAGCCUCUAGUAUGUAUCCUCUAGUAUUGCCCAAUAUGUAGCCUCUAGUAUGUAUCCGGAAAUAUAUAUUAUCAUGACAGAAAGCUUUCUGUUAUGAUUUAGGACUAAUUCAAAAGAGCUGCAAGAUUGUCAAUGCUAGCAUACCUAGAUUUUCAGACCUUUUAACCUGUAACAAAAUAUAGAUGUGAAGAGAAGGAAACUUCCAAUCAUCUCAAUACUGCUCUUGUGGUGCUGAAACUAAGAGGGACAUAGGGCAGCAUACUAAGUUGCAUCUAGUAUGUUGUGACAGUAGCAACUGUUUUAACUUCUAGCAAAAUCCGCAAAAGUGGGGCUCCAAUAUGUUGAGACAGGAAUGUUCUUGCUGGGGUUGUGCUUCCUCUACUCUAGGCUCAUGUUUGUAUCAGGACAGAAUGGCAACUAAUAACACCGCUGAAGUGAUACCUUGGCAUAUAGCAGCGUGGGCAUGUGUAGUAUUCCCUUCUGCUUGACUUUCUUCGAACUCUUGAACCAUCAGCCAGUCGUAGACACUACAUUGGUAACUCAAAUCCUGAAUUUGAGUCGCUCAUUUGGAUCUUCAAUUUUUGUCCCUCUACCUUCAGCAGUACGUCAAAAUUAUAAAUUUGUGAAUUUGUCGCAUAUGCGCUGCAGAAAAGUAUCUAAUGAAAAAUGGACAUACCCAGAAAGGUAAAAUGGAGGAAGAAACAAUAGUCAAGAGAAGUACAAUAUGUGCAUUUUCUGCUUGAAAUUUCUCAGUCAGCAAACCAAAACUCGUGGAAGAAAUCGAAACAGAGGAUGUACCCACCUUGCGAGAGGAAGAAUCAAUCACACCAGAUCCAGUCCCUUGCAAGCCGAAGACGAGGACGACACGGCAACCUGAGACCAAAGGCCAACCUUAACCCUAAUCAAAAUGUAUUUCACAAAACCAAGCAGAAAAUCAAGAAACCAACUGAUGGACAACCAUUUCUCAUUUUUGAGACUUCACAACAGUUGGCCACAUCGUUAAUUCAUAAAACGGAAGAAAUCUCCUUAACAUUUUAGUUCAUGACAUAAUAGAACUACCAGCAAGUUACUGACACUUGACUAAUGACUGCACCUUAGAGAUAUAUGAUUCCACCAUUAUAUUAACAAAUAAAAUUGAACUCCCUACAUGUUAUCUGGUUGAGCUAAGCCUAGAACAUGGAAUUGCAACUUUUGCGCACACAAAUUGAGAAGAACAUAAGAUGAUGUCUGGGUGAUGGACAUAAAACAAGUUUAAAAGCUAACAAUGCUAAGGUACCAGAUACAUGAACUAUGCUCUAACAAACGUUCUGAAAAACACCUAGUAAGUGUGAACGGUAAGCAAAGAACACUCCUAUCAAAAUAGUGUACCAAAAUUUGCAAUAAAUCAAAUGUGUUCAAGCAACUAGAGGACGAUCUUAAUUGUAUAAACAUGGUGUCAAGACUCACCAGGGGGAACAUGUGGCGUCAAUCGAGGUGAAGAAAGAAACAUCACCAGUUCAGUUAGCAUGAACCGUAAGAGUAGAGCACUCAUCUUGGCUGUUAGAGACGACAAAAUAGAGAGGUUAACUAUAAGUAGAGGAAAUAAUUAUGUAGCAUAAGAACCUGCUUUCUUUGAUAUUCCAAAUCCGUUUUUUGUGGCAAUACAAUUAUAAGGACGUAAAUAAAAAAUAUUAUACUAUUGUCUGGUCAGUUUAAGAUCUAUGUUGAAUAGGUUGAAGUUCUGUCCGUACUACAAAUCUCCACUUUUUGGGAAGCAGCAAACUUGGAAUCAACAAUGAAGAUUCAAACAGGAAGACAACUGCAUAUUUGACUUUCAUAAAAGCACUUUCGUAUUUUGACCAUUUAUAUAUAUCAAGUAUAU